GCAUGCCUUACACAUGCAAGUCGAACGGCAGCACGGGAGCAAUCCUGGUGGCGAGUGGCGAACGGGUGAGUAAUACAUCGGAACGUGCCCUGUCGUGGGGGAUAACUAGUCGAAAGAUUAGCUAAUACCGCAUACGACCUGAGGGUGAAAGCGGGGGACCGUAAGGCCUCGCGCGAUAGGAGCGGCCGAUGUCUGAUUAGCUAGUUGGUGGGGUAAAGGCCCACCAAGGCGACGAUCAGUAGCUGGUCUGAGAGGACGAUCAGCCACACUGGGACUGAGACACGGCCCAGACUCCUACGGGAGGCAGCAGUGGGGAAUUUUGGACAAUGGGGGCAACCCUGAUCCAGCAAUGCCGCGUGUGUGAAGAAGGCCUUCGGGUUGUAAAGCACUUUUGUCCGGAAAGAAAUCCCUUGCCCUAAUACGGCGGGGGGAUGACGGUACCGGAAGAAUAAGCACCGGCUAACUACGUGCCAGCAGCCGCGGUAAUACGUAGGGUGCGAGCGUUAAUCGGAAUUACUGGGCGUAAAGCGUGCGCAGGCGGUUUUGUAAGACAGGCGUGAAAUCCCCGAGCUCAACUUGGGAAUGGCGCUUGUGACUGCAAGGCUAGAGUAUGUCAAAGGGGGGUAGAAUUCCACGUGUAGCAGUGAAAUGCGUAAAGAUGUGGAGGAAUACC
rnacentral:rRNA from 1 species